rnacentral:rRNA from 1 species
GACGAACGCUGGCGGCGUGCUUAACACAUGCAAGUCGAACGGAAAGGCCCUGCUUUUGUGGGGUGCUCGAGUGGCGAACGGGUGAGUAACACGUGAGUAACCUGCCCUUGACUUUGGGAUAACUUCAGGAAACUGGGGCUAAUACCGGAUAGGAGCUCCUGCUGCAUGGUGGGGGUUGGAAAGUUUCGGCGGUUGGGGAUGGACUCGCGGCUUAUCAGCUUGUUGGUGGGGUAGUGGCUUACCAAGCCUUUGACGGGUAGCCGGCAUGGGAGGGGGACCGGCCACAUUGGGACUGAGAUACGGACCAGACUCCUACGGGAGGCAGCAGUGGGGAAUAUUGCAGAAUGGGCGGAAGCCUGAUGCAGCAACGCCGCGUGCGGGAUGACGGCCUUCGGGUUGUAAACCGCUUUCGCCUGUGACGAAGCGUGAGUGACGGUAAUGGGUAAAGAAGCACCGGCUAACUACGUG